UACAGAGGUCUCAAGCGUUGUUCGGAUUCAUUGGGCGUAAAGGGUGCGUAGGCGGCGCGGUAAGUCGGGGUGUGAAAUCUCGGAGCUUAACUCCGAAACUGCAUUCGAUACUACCGUGCUUGAGGACUGGAGAGGAGACUGGAAUUUACGGUGUAGCGGUGAAAUGCGUAGAUAUCGUAAGGAAGACCAGUGGCGAAGGCGGGUCUCUGGACAGUUCCUGACGCUGAGGCACGAAGGCCAGGGGAGCAAACGGG
rnacentral:rRNA from 1 species